AUUCCAGCUCCAAUAGCGUAUAUUAAAGUUGUUGCAGUUAAAAAGCUCGUAGUUGGACUUCUGAUUCGAAAGAUCGGUCCGCCGCAAGGCGAGCACUGAUUCUUCGAGUCUUCCUCUCGUAGUUGUUUGGCGCACUUGAUUGGGUGCCAGAUGAAUAUGGGACCUUUACUUUGAAAAAAUUAGAGUGUUCAAAGCAGGCAAUCGCUUGAAUACAUUAGCAUGGAAUAAUAGAAUAGGACUUUGGUUCUAUUUUGUUGGUUUCUAGGACCGAGGUAAUGAUUAAUAGGGACAGUUGGGGGCAUUAGUAUUUAAUUGUCAGAGGUGAAAUUCUUGGAUUUAUGAAAGACUAACUACUGCGAAAGCAUUUGCCAAGGAUGUUUUCAUCA
rnacentral:rRNA from 1 species